rnacentral:lncRNA from 1 species
GGAUCACGAGCCGGGGAAGGAAGAGUGGAGACGACCUUAACCGAAGUGAGGAUUCGGAGUAUGCGACGGAGCUGCUCGAGCGCGCGGUAGUCUCCGAGGUCGGACACGUAAGCGCGAAGGUAGUCAACAGGAGCGCCGGAGAGCAUGCGCUCGAGCUCACGGAGAGAGUCAAGGCGGAGGUGGAUAUAGUGAAGACCAGCUGGAUUGAGCUUGAGAACAAUCGUUUCCUCGAGGAGAGACUCGGUUUCUUCUUCUAGAAACUUCUGUAGCUUCUCAACGUAGCGAUCUCCCGUCACAAUCGCCAUUGGAAUCGAGUCGUUAAGAAGGCGGAAUCGGGGUAGAGAGAGAGGGAGGUUUUGGAGGUGUAAAGAUAGAAACCGCCAUGGCUGAUUGAUUACGGAGAGAGAAGAGCGACGGGGGAAGACGAAUGAUUGGAGAAAGAGAGGGUAAAAUGGGAAAUUUGAAAAUAGUUUAAGGGUGUUUUUGUCUUUUGCAUAGUAUGUGCUAAAAUUCAAGAAACACAUGGCAGCCAUGCCUUUCAACAAUCAACCUGGUGUCCUACUCCUCCCCAUGUGGUGUUACAAGUAAUUCUGAUUCUGUUUUCAGGUUGGUCGAACCGGAUGAGUUGUAGAAGAACAAAUCGAUUUGAGAUAUUGAUUAAACCGAAGGAAUAAAAACAAAAGCAUAUACUCUAGACGCCCUAGAGGUUCAUGGUUAUAAUCACCUACAUUAAUAGUGUAAAAUAAGUUUUAAAAGCAAAUUCAUAACCAAUUCAGGCCAAUUCUAGAAAGGUUUUUAUAAUAUUUAAAAUCAGUGGAGCCGAAAAAAAUAUAUUGUAAAUUGAAACAAAAUUUUUGAAAAAAUGUUAAGAUUUUUCUCCGAGAUUUUGAGGAGAUAAAAAAGAGAGUUUUUUAUUUGAUGUUUUUGACUUUUUCAGUUGUUUCUAAUAGUUGUUUAGUUUAAUACCAUUAAAUAGAUGCAGUAUUAAAAAAUGCAUAUGCUGUAUAUGUAUAAAUUACUAUAGAUUUUUUGCUUCGAGUUUCUGAAAUUAUGUUUACUUUUCUUUUCGUCUACACUACUUUCCUUUUGCAUUUUCUUAAGUCGUGAGUUGAAAAGGGGAGAGAGAUUGGAGAGACGAUUUGUGUAUGGCUGUUAUCCCAUUAAUUUUUGUCACACAUUAAUUUUAAAGUCUAUUUAAUUUAGUGAGAUUAUAUAUUCGAAUCACAAAUUAAAUUAGAUUUAAUUUAAUAUAAAUAAAAUAUUUGAGUCACCAAUUAAGUUAUUUCUGUUUAAAGUAUAUGUAAUUCCAUUUAAUUAAAUAUCUGAAUCCCAAAUAAACUUAUUUUCAUUUUAACUAUUUUAAUUAAAUUUAAAUUAAAUAUUUGUCACUGAUUAAGUUGUUUUCAUUUAAAGUUUAUUUCAAUCAAUUUAAAUAAUGUGAAUCUCCUAAAUAGCCUCUUUUUAUUUUUCACUUUCUAAAAUAGAACCCAAAAAUCAAAAUGACCAUAAUAUGUUUUACUAAGAGGUUAGAUGACGAUUAUAUUCUUAUUUAUUAUUGUAAUUAAUUAUUUAUUGAAUAUAAAAAAUUAAACAAAUAUUUUAAAAUUUUAAAAUAAUAAAACUGAAAGAUAUUUUUGAUUUUUAUCAAAAUUAUAUUCACAAUUUCCUUUUUUCUUUAAUUAUAUUUGUUUUUUAAAAGAAAUUUGAAGACUUUCCUGAACAUAUAUGAUAUUUUCCUAAAUUUCUAAUUUUUUAAAUUAACGAAUGUCUUCAUAAAUGUGUAAAUAUACUUUUUGAAUGUACAAUUUAUGUUUAUCUAUGUAGAUAUUCCUAAAUGUAUACGUCAUCCUUCUGAAUUUGAUUUAUAUGAAUAUUUAGGAAAAUAUUAUUCAAUUUAUGACAUCUCUCGAGAAUUGACAAAGUUGUUUUUAAAAAUUUAUAAUAUAUUUUAUAAAAUUAGAUAUCAAAUCCAUGAAGAUCUUCCAAAAACUGUAAGAGAAAAGAUUAUGACAGUAAAAAUUUACACAGCCGACUCUAGACUGAAAGUUAAAAAGCUUACCUUCUAAGAGAGCAUUUAGAAUCCUGAGAAUCAAAAACUUGUAUGAUAUUGAGUAACUCUGUUGUCUUCUCAAUGCACUUUGUAACAAAAAUGUAUUCUGCAUCCUCAAAAAAGCGUAGCCUACACAGAAAGAACAAGAAGGAUUCAGAACAUAUACAUAAACCAAAUCGACAAAGCCGGAAAAAGACCAACCUCACAAGCUGAAGUCCUAGACCAACUGAAACGUCUUGUAACUCGCUGAUUUCAUGGGAACACAGUACACUUAAGGUGCUCCCUGCAGAGACCCGUGGCCGUUAAGAACUCAGCAUCAGAAAAACUUAUGACAUGAUUGGCAAAGGAACACAGAUGAUUAGUCUAACCUUGAUAAGUCGCAGACACACCCACGAGUAGCACGUAAAGCUUGUUUAGGGUGCUCAGCAGCAACACUGCUUCCCUGUAUUUCAGAAUACUGUCAAAAGGGAAGAGAACAAAUAGCUUCCUGGUAUAACGAUGCUUCUCAACUAGCUAUGAAGUUAAAUAAGAUAAAUCAAAAUUCAAGUACGAUUUUUCACACAUCACCCACUUUAAGAAAGCCCAAGCAUCUAAAUCUAAUGCAAACAAUUCCGUUGAAUACUAAGAAAGCUUAGCCAUAAUAAAAAAAGGAUGAUAUCACAUCUCUCUCAGCAAGUCAAGAAUAAAGAAAAACAAAACCUAUGUAUAAACCUACCCAAAGGGACUUAUAUUACCAUCAUUUACCACUACAAACUAAACCACGAAAGUGUUACAAAAACUCACCGUUGCUUGUACGUAGAACCUUUCUGUAGUAUAAAAUCACAGCUCAUGUACGUCCUACAAGUUUCUUGAGAGCUGGAAUCUGCCAGUUUUGCUGAAAAAUAUUCCUCUACUGAAUCGCCUUUUCCUUCAUGUGUUCUGUCAGUCCCCAAAUAUCUACUAUUGCUAUUACUACUACUACACAUCAUUGACAGAGAACUUUCUUGCAAAUGAUCAGAACCAGAAAAACAGAUAUCUGCGUCACUACUGAGAGAUGCCUCCGCAUUAGUAAUACAACUUUCCUCUUUCUGAAAGGAAACAUAUCUUUUUAUAGGUUUCCUUAUGCUUUUCUUUGUCUCAACCAAAUGGCAAAUAUGUUCACCAUUAUGCAAUUCCGAAAGAGAACUACUGGUAUUCUCCUUCAUCGAUCCAUCAGUCCUCAAAGAUUCUAUUAUGCUACUACCAUUCUCCGGUUGAGAAUCAAGAGAGCUUGUUACUUUGGGUUCACACCCCGGAAUCUCCUCACGCAGUCUAUUCACAUUAAGAAGAUCUGUCAACCGACUGUUUUCAUGGUUCGAAUACUCAGACUCAGAGUCGUAGUUAUCAUCUUCACUGCAGCUGCUUGUGCUAUCAGAUGAUGCAACUGAAUAAGAAUCUGCAGACAGCUGUAAGAUUUCUUCCACCAAGUUCUGACGUCGAUGCAAGACAUCUUUCUGAUAAUGAGGGGGUGACCCAGGAUAAGUUGAUGAAAAUGAUCCCAUUAUAUCCUGGCCUAUAUCCAAUGUUGACGCAUUUCCAUUUUCAGCUAACUUCUCCCCGGAAGGGGCUGUAGAAAACAGGUUGUUUGGUUCAACCGAUGCAAAUUCCUGACUUUGAUUUGUAGCUUGAAGGCCUAACGAAGAGAUGUCACUAGUCAUAGUCUGUGUCUCAUUACCUUCAACGAACUUCAUAUCAUCCAUACCGGUUUUGUGAUCCACAGAUGAACCAUUGCAUUCUAAAUUUUUCCUAUGGCCCUUAUCUCUUGAAGCUCGUAAAGAGCUGGACGAGUAUCUUCGUGUUCCACUAUGCUGCCUUGAAAUUCCUCUCGCAUUUGAACAGUACUUUUCCAUAUUGAUACCCAAGCUGUCUUUGCUGACAUCUGCAAAAUCCUCUGAUGAAUGAUCCAUCCAUUCCUUGAACUCUCGUAGCCAUAGAACAGAACGUUCUUUCUUCAGGUUUUCAACUUUCCUUAUAAGACCAAAUAUGUCAGCAUCUUGAUCACACUUUAUAUUGUCUUUGUUCUUGUGAUCACAUGACACAGUCUCUUGGUCAGAAUUCGCGUAGGUGCUCUCUUCCUCGCAAUCAAUAGAAGCGAGUCGGCAGAUCAUUUUCUGUUGAAGGUUAAAACAGAACAAUAAGCUUACAGUAAUUAUUUAUCAAACAAAAUAAACCAAGAUGCUGAAAAAACAAAUAAAGAAGCUGAAUGCCACAUGUACAUGGCUGAAACGUUCACCAAAACAGUCACACCACAAUGCCCAACUAACUGGCUUGAAUUUUGUUUCGUUCUACAUUUUUUCCUAAUUCACUAUCACGAAAAGGGCCGAUACAAGCAAGAGCAAAUAAUAUAUGCAUGUGUGCAAGUAUAUUGUGAGUGGACUUGUGGCUACUUACCUUUUUUCUAUUACAGCUUUCUUCUUCGUUACCUUCCUCUCUAGCUGGAUAAUAGAAUCCGUAGCUGGCAGGCUCACUAUGUCUAUGGGCUACAAUGAUUUGCCUCUUCCAAAAUUCUCUAGUUCCUAUCUGUUUGCCAUCUAGUUUCAGCUGAAAAUUCGUACAACACAAGAUGCAUUACAAGCCAAACAAAAGCAGACAGUGCCAUUUCUUUCGUCUAGAUAAGAUUCCAAGAUCUCCAAAACAAGAAUAAAGAAACUUACGCCAUCUGGAAGAGCAAUGUAGCUGAAGACAUGAGCCCUGUACCAUCGAGCACAGCACACUGGAUUUCCUUCCAGCCACAAUUCUUUGAGUAGUGAAAGACUCCAAAGCAACUCCAAUUCUGAAAAUUUUGAAAUGAUAUUGUAGGAUACAUCAAGGCCUUCGAGUGACUUCAAGUUCUCAAUCCCACGCAACGUAGUUAGAGCGUUGUUCCUCAAAACAAGCUUUACAAGGUGACAGGAUACCUGCAUUGUCCCAAAACUUGCGGUUAUGGGUCCCAAGUGUAAGUAUCAAAGAUUCAGGUCAGAUGCAUGUGACAUUCCUAGACAGUCUAAAGGACAAUCAGAAUACGAACCUCAAAGGAAAAAAGCGAGCACUACAACAUUCCUUCUCAUCUAACAAACGUGAAUGUUAUAUAACCUUAGAUAAAACGAAACACAUGCAUGGAUAUAAUGAAGCCUGAAGUUUCCUUCACCUGACUCAAGUGAGAGACCGUUCUAAGAUGAUUAAACCCCAGAUCAAGGUGCUUCAGUUUGGUGCAUCUCCUAAGAUUAUCCACUUUCGCAAACUUGUUUCGACUCAGAUCAAGCGACUCAGCAGCUGGGAGAAGCUGCAAGGACUCAUCCAUGAGCACAAGACGGUUACAAGAACAUGAUACAACCGCCAACUUGUUCCACUCUUGCGAAUUCGUUAUCUCGGCAAUUCUACUGGCGAAAACAUGCCUCAACGCAUCCUACAUCAAAUGGUACCAACACAUUACUCAAAACGAUUCAUAGAUAUAUAACUUCAACUGCUCAUUAUCCAUUCCAACUAUACUAAUAGUGUUCAAUUUUUUUUUAUCGUCUUAUUUUAACCAGGGUUAGUGGCCUGCUGGCGAUUAACUUGAGGGCAAAAGCCCAAUACGGUGAAGCCUCCCGGUCACUGGGAAUUAACAUUUCGGUGACUAGUCUGGACCAUUUCUGCGGAGAUAAUUCAAAAAAGAAAAAAAAUAGUGUUCAAUUUCUCUGUAUAACAAAAUUGUAACUAACAGUGGAGUUAUGGCAAAUGAUCUUCUCCAAGGUGUGACGGAGCUCGAGCAAGCCCUUAGCCGGAGAAGUAGACAAAUCACAGCCACGAAGCUCCAAAACCUUAAGCCUACCGAAGGGAAUAAGAGACAACGGCGUCGGAUCACGAGCCGGGGAAGGAAGAGUGGAGACGACCUUAACCGAAGUGAGGAUUCGGAGUAUGCGACGGAGCUGCUCGAGCGCGCGGUAGUCUCCGAGGUCGGACACGUAAGCGCGAAGGUAGUCAACAGGAGCGCCGGAGAGCAUGCGCUCGAGCUCACGGAGAGAGUCAAGGCGGAGGUGGAUAUAGUGAAGACCAGCUGGAUUGAGCUUGAGAACAAUCGUUUCCUCGAGGAGAGACUCGGUUUCUUCUUCUAGAAACUUCUGUAGCUUCUCAACGUAGCGAUCUCCCGUCACAAU